UUCGCAAUGCCCGAAAGGGUGACGAAGCGACGCCGCGUGGGUGAGGAAGGCCUUCGGGUUGUAAAACCCUGUCAGGAGUUAAGAAAUGUAAGUGCGCUAAUAUCGCAUUUACUUGACGAAGGCUCCAAAGGAAGCCACGGCUAACUCUGUGCCAGCAGCCGCGGUAAUACAGAGGUGGCAAGCGUUGUUCGGAAUUAUUGGGCGUAAAGAGCACGUAGGUGGAUUUGCAAGUCAGAUGUGAAAGCCUUCUGUUCAACGGAAGAAUUGCAUCUGAAACUGCAAACCUUGAGUGUAGGAGGGGAGAAUGGAACUUCUGGUGGAGCGGUGAAAUGCGUAGAUAUCAGAAGGAACGCCGGCGGCGAAAGCGAUUCUCUGGCCUAUUACUGACACUCAGUGUGCGAAAGCUAGGGGAGCAAACGGGAUUAGA
rnacentral:rRNA from 1 species